GUCGAACGCUGAAGCCCCAGCUUGCUGGGGUGGAUGAGUGGCGAACGGGUGAGUAACACGUGAGUAACCUGCCCCUGACUUCGGGAUAAGCCCGGGAAACUGGGUCUAAUACCGGAUACGACCUGCUCUCGCAUGAGGGUGGGUGGAAAGUUUUUUCGGUUGGGGAUGGGCUCGCGGCCUAUCAGUUUGUUGGUGAGGUAAUGGCUCACCAAGACGACGACGGGUAGCCGGCCUGAGAGGGCGACCGGCCACACUGGGACUGAGACACGGCCCAGACUCCUACGGGAGGCAGCAGUGGGGAAUAUUGCACAAUGGGGGAAACCCUGAUGCAGCGACGCAGCGUGCGGGAUGACGGCCUUCGGGUUGUAAACCGCUUUCAGCAGGGAAGAAGCCUCACGGUGACGGUACCUGCAGAAGAAGUACCGGCUAACUACGUGCCAGCAGCCGCGGUAAUACGUAGGGUACGAGCGUUGUCCGGAAUUAUUGGGCGUAAAGAGCUCGUAGGUGGUUGGUCACGUCUGCUGUGGAAACGCAACGCUUAACGUUGCGCGUGCAGUGGGUACGGGCUGACUAGAGUGCAGUAGGGGAGUCUGGAAUUCCUGGUGUAGCGGUGAAAUGCGCAGAUAUCAGGAGGAACACCGGUGGCGAAGGCGGGACUCUGGGCUGUAACUGACACUGAGGAGCGAAAGCAUGGGGAGCGAACAGGAUUAGAUACCCUGGUAGUCCAUGCCGUA
rnacentral:rRNA from 1 species